UCAAACGAGCUAGCAUGCAUGCCUAGAUAGAGGGGGUGAUCUCUCGAAUCUGCGAACGGCUCCGCAAACCGGUUGUAAUUCAUUGUACGUCUAGCCCGGCUCGGGCCUCGACCCUCCGGGGUCGGGUGCUGGAACCGGGCACCGCUUACAUGGAUAUCCCUGGUAAUUCUGGGGCUAAUACAUGGCACAAACACUGAACUGGCCCGGUCCCGGGGGCGUAGGCUUCGGCUGAAACCAUUAACCCGGGGUUCCCCGAGCCAGGGACGUGCGAGUCUCCCAACCAAGUUCGGCUUGGGGUCUCUUCUAACCUUCGGGACGGAACGCACGUCUGAACCUGCUCCCGUUUCGGCGGGACCGGGUCAGGGCACCGAGCUUUCUUCUGGCUGCAGGUUCAGGUUAACCCCUGGGUUUGCUUCUGGGGAUUGCAGAGUCCCUGUCCCGGGCAGGUAGGUACUGCGGCUUCCGACCUAUCAACUAGAAUGCGGUAAAAUGGGCUGCAAUGGUCGCAACGGGUACAGAGGAUUAGGGUUCGAUCCUGGAGAGUGGGCCUGAGAGAUCGCUCCUACUUCUAAGGAAGGCAGCAGGCGCGCAAAGUUCCCCUUGGGCUAUUGCCUGAGGGCGCUAGGGGACAUAUGAAUGGCUAUCAAUUUUGGUGGCCAAUUCAAAUGGGUCUGUCGUAACAGGCUCUCGAGUAACAAUUGGAGGACAAGUCUGGUGCCAGCACCCGCGAACUGGAUCCGCGGGGAUAGUGCUAGGGAAACCUAGGCGCUAGUGCUAGCCGUGUUCAAUGCAUGAUCGGCUAGCGCGACACCGUCAAAAUGCGGGGAGUCCCUAAAGCCACCGUAACUAACCACGCGCCGAAAGGCGGAAAAGUAGCCGGCGUCUGUACCUCUGUACAGGGGGAGUCGGGCUCGUGGGGCCAGGGUAAUGACCUCGGGUAUAGUAAAAUCACGGUUGGAUCGGCAGUAGCCGAAUGGGUAAUCCGCAGCCAAGUCCGUAGUGCAGGCUAUACCGCACCCAGUUAACUGCUUGCGAGUGUAGUAGCCGGCACCGGAUGCAGUCAGAGACUAGAUGUCGUGGACGGAAUAAGCCCUUCUGUUGCUUCGCCUACGAAUGCAUAACCUAUCGCAUAGAUAGUCGAGCCCUUCCCGCGAAGCGGGCGGGUCGAGAGAGGAGCAGUGCCACACUCUCGAA
rnacentral:rRNA from 1 species